ensembl:lncRNA
AGUGUUGUCUUCAGUUCUUCUGUGGAUACGUUCAUUUAACAAAGAUAAAACAGGCUUGCUCAGGUCUUGUGUUCCUUGGAGGCAAAGCAUUCAGAGCGUUUGUUUUCCAUAUUGAAGUGAACCAGCACUGGCCAUCAGAGCUCAACUUUUCUGAUGUCCUGGUUUGAAGCAAUGGAUGUGGGCUGCAGGUAAUUAUCAACCUAUGGUAAUUAGAAUUAUACCUCUGCACCUUGGACGUGACGAGCCAGCUUUGUUUGGAUGCUUGAGGUUAGAAAUGGAGCCAGAGGCUAAUGGGAUUAAUCUCAAUAAAUACGCAACUAUAUUUAGGAAAAAUGUUUAAUUGAAGACUUUUUAAAGAAACUGUGGUCACUCAAGCUAUACCUCCCUACCUCCUCCAGUCUUUCCCCCAUAACGGGUAAAAAUUUUAAAUUCUUAUGUACCAGGCAUUUUGCAUCUUUUAUCUCAAUUACACUUCCAAUAGCCUUAUUUUUCCAUUUACAGAUAGAAAAACUGAGAUGUGAGCAGGAAUACUCUGCAAGGGUCACAUCGUUUAUAGAUGAUGGAAUCUGGACUCACUCCCAUGCAGUCUGACACCUGAGCCCACACACGUUCCCCACCCCCCGCCCCUCCAUCAAGAACCUGUGUAGACUGUAGAUUCUGAAACUGGCAUGGCAACUCAAACUCCUGGGUUGAGUCUUCUCCCAAUAGUCCUGUCCAGAGUGACUAUUUCUGUUAUCAGUUGCUACAUAACAAGCCACCCAAACGAUUGUGACUUAACAAGCAUCUUAUCUCCAGGAGUUCUGCAUGUUGACCGAGCUCAACCAGGUGGUUCUUCUGCUCCAGUGAUGUCACAGCUGGAGCUGUGCAGUGAGGGGCUCUGUUGGAUGGGCCCCCUAGGACAGCUCACUGACAUGUCCAGUAUCUUAAGUCUGAGGUCAGUAGGGAUGCCAGGACACCUGGUAGGUAGGUGUCUGUUCCCUUCCCCUCGUAGAGGGGCUCUUCCCAUGGCCUUUCCAUGUGGUCUCUCGACAUGGUCUUUCCAGCACAAUAAUUGACCUUCUUACAUGAUGUGUUAGGGUGCCCAAAAGCUCAAAAGCAGAAGCUGCCAAGCCUUAGUCUAUGGCCAAAGCCCUGUCUAAUUCAGUGUGGGAGGAGACUACACCAGGGCAUGGCAUUGAGAAGGAUGGUCUGUUGGGGCCCCCUUUGGAGCCCAGCCACCACAGUUAGACUGGUUAGUGCUGACAUGGUACUUCCAAGGAUGGAGAGAAUCCAUGGACUGAUGACUGUAGGUGGUGCUUCUUGGAGGAAGCAGGACUUACAUUGGACUUUAACAAGUGAUUGGGGAGUUGCAUUGUGGCUCACCAGGUUAAGAACCUGACAUAGUCUCCUGGACGUUGCAGGUUCUAUCUCUGGCCUCGCUCAAUGGGUUAAGGAUCUGCAGUGUCAAGCUGCAGUGUAGGUCACAGAUGUGGCUCAGAUCUCAUGUUGCCAUGGCUGUGCUGUGGCCAGCAGCUGCAGCUCCAAUUCAACUCCUAGCCCAGGAACUUCCAUAUGCUAUAGGAGCGGCCAUAAAGAGAACAAAAAACAAAACAAAAACCAGUGAUUAGGAUUUGGGAAAAAAGGUCUGAGUUUGGGGUGACUUGACUCAUUGAACUUACAUAACAUGUGCUGUAUAUAGGACACAGGUAGCUUUAGAUGAGUUAAUUCAUUUAACCCUCAAACAACCCAAAGAGCUGAGUGUCACCCUUAUUGCAGCCUUGCAGAUGAGAAAACUGGGCACACGGAAGUUAAGAAACAUGCCCAGGUUCACAUAGCUCAGAAAGUCACAGAGCUGGAUUCAAACUCAGACAGUGUGGCACCCAAAUCAGGAUCCUGAUCAUCAGGCUUUACCACCUCUCACAAGGGAGGGGGUGUCUUCGAGGGGUUGGAGGGUAAACCAGCUUGGCCCAAACAGUGAGUACGUGUAGGGAGGACUGAGUAUGACCAUGGUCAAUACUGCAUAGUGCCCGAUUAACUCCCCAUGAACCCCUGUCUCCCCUGUAAGACUGCAUGCUCCAUGCAGGCAGGAACCACAUCUGCUGAUGAGCCAAGCCCAGCAUCAGGUACGUGGUACACGUCACACACGUGUUAAUAUGUGUUUACUAGAGUGAAUGGAAGUGAAAAGUGUAGGUUGCGUUCAUAGAGAAAAGGUAGAUCCUCUUUUCUGGUAUCCGUUUCUCUGACGUGGGGGCGUCCUACCUCCCUGUAGAAGCCCCAUCACAGACUCACGGUGGACCGAUCACCAAGAGGCCCGAGGUCAUCGGCAGAUAGAUGGGAAACUGUGAGACGGUUUGGCUUUUUCCAGAUAUGGUCUUCAGAACGAGAUUCGUUGGUCAGGCAAAGGGGAUGGCAGGUGUGCAAGAUGCGUCCAUCCCGGGCCUCUGUUGGCACCUCUGUAGCAGCCGUUGAGGACGCUGGUGAUUGGCAUGUAGGUGACUCAGGAAAGGCUUCCUUGAGGGGCCCUGGGGGCGAUCAGACAGCCCUGGGAGCUCCUACUCUGCAAAAUGCAGUCAUCACGCCUCAUCUUAAAAAUAAAUCUUCUGGGGUUUUCUAAUGAGGUCACAGGAAGAAUGCUCUGCUUUCCAGGGGGAAGGACGAGCAGGGCAGGGAAGUCUCUCAGCCUGACUUCACAUCUCAGGCAGAGGCACACUGGGAUGCAGGCAUGCCAGGGAGAGCCAGGGAGGUGGAACUCCUUCAACUCUUGUGCUAAGUAGCAGUGGAGGCAGGAACAAAGAGCUCUGGGCAAUGAUGGAAACCCUGGGCUCUAGCAUUUACCGUGGCUUCCCCAGUGGCCCCGACUAUGGCCAUUCAUGGUGUGGUGCCCUCCAAGGAGGUGAUGUCAUUUAAUCUUCAGCACAGUCCACCCCACUUUACAGACUCACCCCUGUCCUGAUACCUGUCCUAACAGGUGCUUAAUAAAUGCAAAUGAAUGAAUGAUAAAACCAGGGUGCAGAGGCAUUCCCCCUAUAGCUCAGUGGGUUAAGAGUCCAAAUUCAGCUGUGGCAUAGGUCGUGGCUGCAGUUGGGAUUCAGUCCCUGGCCUGGGAACUUCCAUAUGUCUCAAGUGUGGCCAUUUAAAGAAAAAAAUGAACAAGGUGCAGAGAGGUGACGUCACUUCCUCAAGGUUGCACGGCUAGCAGGGUCCAGAUUUCUACACAGGGCUGCCUGCCUCCAAAGCCAGGGGUUUUAACCAUUGCUCCAUCAAGCCCUUUUGCAAAGAACUUGCACUGUUGGCUCUUCUUAUGUUGCCCAGCAGAGCCAACACAGCCCUGGAGGCUGCUUUGUGUAAAGUCCAAGAGGCUUCAUUCUUUUCUUUUUCUUUUUUUGUCUUUUUUUAGAGCCAAACCCACGGUGUAUGAAAGUUCCCAGGCUCGGGGUCCAAUUAGAACUGUAGCCUCUGGCCUACACCACAGCCACAGCAACACGAGAUCCGAGCCACAUCUGCAACCUACACCACAGCUCACGGCAUCACUGGAUCCCUAACCCACUGAGGGAGGUUAGGGAUCAAACCCAAGUCCACAUGGAUGCUAGUCAGGUUCGUUAACCGCUGAGCCACGACAGGAACUCCAGAACCCUCAUUCUCACCGUUAGGUUUUACUCAGCCUUCCUGGGGAGCAUUGAGCACUGCCCACCUGCACACCUGGCCCAGCCCAGUCUUUGAUCCGGGUGUUUGUCUUUGCAGAGCCCCCACAUCUGCCCCCAUCAGCACGUGGCAUCUGGAAGUAUGUCCUCACCUGUCAGCACCCCGGACGCCCAGGUGUAUACACGCUAAACUUUGGUCUCUGCCCCACUGGUUUACCUGUUUCUUAUGCCGGGGCUUCUGUCUCCGAUUCCUGGUUUGGGCUUUAGGUCCCCUGCUCACACUUUCUAGAGGUCUAGGUUAUUUGCCUGUGGCCUUGACACUUCCUCCCCCCAACACACACACACACACACACACACACACACAUCCUGGGCAUUUACCUGGACUGCCUGCACCCCUAGCCAGAAGCUCCAAACUGCUUUUCUUUCUUUCUUUCUUUAUUUCUUUCUUUCUUUCUUUAUUUCUUUCUUUCUUUCUUUCUUUCUUUCUUUCUUUCUUUAUUUCUUUCUUUCUUUCUUUCAGGACCACUUUUGAGGCAUAUGGAAGUUCCUGAGCUAGGGGUCAAAUUGGAGCUGCAGCUGUCAGCCUUACACCCCAGCCACAGCAACACCAGAUCCAAGCCACAUCUGUGACUUAGGCCACAGCUUGCUGCAACACCAGAUCAUUAACCCACUGAGUGAGGCCAGGGAUCGAACCCACUUCCUCAUGGAUACCAAUCGGGUUCUUAACCCGCUGAGCCACAACAGGAACUUCUCCCACCCCCAACUCCAAACUGGUUUUAAGUGUAUUUAUUGAGCAACUACUCUGUGCACUGUUUGAGGCCACAGUCUGUGCUGUGUCUGAGCAUUUCCCUAAUUGCAGCCCCCUACCCCCAUCUGGUGGGUGUUGCCACCUUCCCAUCAGAGGAUCUUGCCAUAUAUGUCUAUGGCCUCCCAAGUUGGCCACACUCCCAGGUCCUGUUGGACAGCCGCCCACCCCAGCAGGGGCCAGCCCUGGUCACUUCCCUCACUCCAGAUCUGUCCGUUCCCAGAUACCUGCCCUCUUGUACCUGUUGUCCUUCCAGUUCCCAUUUUUUUUCCCCGAGAAGGGAGCCAAGACACAGAGAGCAUAAGUAAUUCACAGAAGGCAGCAUGGAAACCAUAUGUGGGGCAGUGGAUUGUGACCAGAGACACUCAGAGCAUGGUAGGAUGUGCCCCAGAAGGCUGGCCCUGGAUGGAUACUGGGAGAGAAAGGACAGGACCUGGGUGUGUCCCACAGUGGACCAUUUGCCGUGAAGGUGCAGGCGUGGCUAGGGCAAGCACGUGCUUCCUGUUAGCUCCCAAGUCCAGCAGGACCUCCUCCUGACACCGCCCCUUCAAUUCCCGGAGGUCCUGGAUCAAAUGUGCCCAGCCUUUGCAUUUCAGACCAUUUACAACCCAGCCCACCCCCUGCCUCUCCUCGGUGUCCUCUGCAUGUUUCCUCAUAGGGCUCUGGUCUUGUUUUAAUAAGUUACUGCAUAGGAAGAAUUUGGAACAAUGCCUACAGCUCAUGUGCUCUGCGCCACCUUCUCCCCAACCUCCUGCUUCUCAUGCAACAUGUAUCCUCUGAACUUUGCCUGCUCAUGCGGAGUUAGACUCCAGUUCAAAAUCUGCUAGCCUUGUGAGCUUAGUUACCUUCCUAAACCACAGCUUUCUCCUCCGUACAGUUGAAGGACUUCUAAGACUCUUGCGAGGACUGAAUGAAGGAAUGCCGUAAAAAGUUCCAUUCAUUGAGCUUUACACCCUGCUCAGCUCUGCAUUUGUAGCAAAAUACAAGGUCCCAAGCUCCGCCCUCCUGGGAGGUGGACCUGAAAUAAAUAGUGACAUGGGUGAUAUUUUUUUCACAUAAUGAAUUUUAAUUUCCUUUGGAAUUAAUGUUCCUUUCAAUAAUUAGAAAUGGGGAGUAGUGUGUAUAGAUGUAAGACUGGGUCACUUUGCUGUACAGCAGAAAUUGCCAGAACAUUGUAAAUCAACUAUAAUAGAAAAAACAAAAUCUUAAAAAAAAAAA